rnacentral:rRNA from 1 species
UUGAUAAGCGCUGAAAGCAUCUAAGCGCGAAGCGAGCCCUGAGAUGAGUCUUCCCUGACAGUUUAACUGUUCUAAAGGGUUGUUCGAGACUAGAACGUUGAUAGGCAGGGUGUGUAAGCGUUGUGAG